CUUUCAACAACGGAUCUCUUGGUUCUGGCAUCGAUGAAGAACGCAGCAAAAUGCGAUAAGUAAUGUGAAUUGCAGAAUUCAGUGAAUCAUCGAAUCUUUGAACGCACAUUGCGCCCGCCAGUAUUCUGGCGGGCAUGCCUGUUCGAGCGUCAUUUCAA
rnacentral:rRNA from 3 species